UGCGAUGGGGACCAAGAGGGAACCGCGUGGAAAUCGCGGGCUGUCGCGCAACUGUUACUCCGCAUCCUGCCGCCGAUGCACAUGCCAUUGGGCUCCGCCGCCCGAGAAGGCGCACCGGCGGAGCGGACCAGCCAGGAGACCUGCCACGGACAAA
rnacentral:ncRNA from 1 species